GUCUAUAGCCAUGCCAUCCUGAACAUGCCCAAUCUCAUCUGAUCUUGGAACCUAAGCAAAGUUUGAAUUUUAUUAGUACUAGAAUAGAGAGAUCUUCAGUGAGGUAAGGGAGAAUAUGAAGA
rnacentral:rRNA from 1 species